UACGUAGGGUGCAAGCGUUAAUCGGAAUUACUGGGCGUAAAGCGUGCGCAGGCGGUUAUGCAAGACAGAUGUGAAAUCCCCGGGCUCAACCUGGGAACUGCAUUUGUGACUGCAUGGCUGGAGUGCGGCAGAGGGGGAUGGAAUUCCGCGUGUAGCAGUGAAAUGCGUAGAGAUGUGGAGGAACACCGAUGGCGAAGGCAGCCCCCUGGGCUAACACUGACGCUCAUGCACGAAAGCGUGGGGAGCAAACAGG
rnacentral:rRNA from 1 species